AGGAGAAUAGCUUAAUUUGGUAGAGCUCUGGUUUUCAAAACCAAGGGUUGAGGGUUCAAGUCCUUCUUCUCCUG
rnacentral:tRNA from 1 species